rnacentral:rRNA from 1 species
UACGGGGGGAGCAAGCGUUGUUCGGAUUUACUGGGCGUAAAGGGCGCGUAGGCGGUCAGCACAAGUCAGUUGUGAAAUCUCCGGGCUUAACUCGGAAAGGUCAACUGAUACUGUGCGACUAGAGUGCGGAAGGGGCACUGGAAUUCUCGGUGUAGCGGUGAAAUGCGUAGAUAUCGAGAGGAACACCUGCGGCGAAGGCGGGUUGCUGGGCCGACACGUGACGCUGAUGCGCGAAAGCGUGGGAGCGAACAGG